GGUCCUAAGGUAGCGAAAUUCCUUGUCGGGUAAGUUCCGACCUGCACGAAUGGCGUAACGAUGGCGGCGCUGUCUCCACCCGAGACUCAGUGAAAUUGAAAUCGCUGUGAAGAUGCAGUGUAUCCGCGGCUAGACGGAAAGACCCCGUGAACCUUUACUGUAGCUUUGCACUGGACUUUGAGCCUGCUUGUGUAGGAUAGGUGGGAGGCUUUGAAGCGUGGACGCCAGUUCGCGUGGAGCCAUCCUUGAAAUACCACCCUGGCAUGCUUGAGGUUCUAACUCUGGUCCGUGAUCCGGAUCGAGGACAGUGUAUGGUGGGCAGUUUGACUGGGGCGGUCUCCUCCUAAAGAGUAACGGAGGAGUACGAAGGUGCGCUCAGACCGGUCGGAAAUCGGUCGCAGAGUAUAAAGGCAAAAGCGCGCUUGACUGCGAGACAGACACGUCGAGCAGGUACGAAAGUAGGUCUUAGUGAUCCGGUGGUUCUGUAUGGAAGGGCCAUCGCUCAACGGAUAAAAGGUACUCCGGGGAUAACAGGCUGAUACCGCCCAAGAGUUCAUAUCGACGGCGGUGUUUGGCACCUCGAUGUCGGCUCAUCACAUCCUGGGGCUGAAGCCGGUCCCAAGGGUAUGGCUGUUCGCCAUUUAAAGUGGUACGCGAGCUGGGUUUAGAACGUCGUGAGACAGUUCGGUCCCUAUCUGCCGUGGACGUUUGAGAUUUGAGAGGGGCUGCUCCUAGUACGAGAGGACCGGAGUGGACGAACCUCUGGUGUUCCGGUUGUCACGCCAGUGGCAUUGCCGGGUAGCUAUGUUCGGAAAAGAUAACCGCUGAAAGCAUCUAAGCGGGAAACUUGCCUCAAGAUGAGAUCUCACUGGGAACUUGAUUCCCCUGAAGGGCCGUCGAAGACUACGACGUUGAUAGGCUGGGUGUGUAAGCGUUGUGAGGCGUUGAGCUAACCAGUACUAAUUGCCCGUGAGGCUUGACCAU
rnacentral:rRNA from 1 species